AGGCUUUGAUCCUGGCUCAGGACAAACGCUGGCGGCGUGCCUAACACAUGCAAGUCGAGCGAAGCAUUUAGAUUAGCUUGCUAAUCUUUAUGACUGAGCGGCGAACGGGUGAGUAACACGUGGGUGAUCUGCCUGAAAGUCUGGGAUAACAGUUCGAAAGGACUACUAAUACCGGAUGAAGUUAUUAGCGUAGAGCUAAUAAUCAAAGCGUUACGGAGCGCUUUCAGAUGAGCCCGCGUCCCAUUAGCUAGUUGGUGAGGUAAAGGCUCACCAAGGCGACGAUGGGUAGCCGGUCUGAGAGGAUGGUCGGCCACACUGGAACUGAGACACGGUCCAGACUCCUACGGGAGGCAGCAGUGGGGAAUUUUGCGCAAUGGGGGCAACCUUGACGCAGCGACGCCGCGUGAGCGAAGAAGGCCUUCGGGUUGUAAAGCUCUGUCUGGGGGGAAGAUAGUGACGGUACCCUCUCGGAGGAAGCCCCGGCGAA
rnacentral:rRNA from 1 species